CAAUAAUUAAUUUGUUACCUCGAUUUGCAACUUUCCCAAUUUGCUCUAACAGCUGUUCUUCCUCAAUAAUAUUUACAUUAGGUGGUUUAUAACAUAUCCCAACCAAUAAUUGAUUUCCCUUUGUUUGCCCCAAGCAGAUAUCUACCCAUAAAGCUUCCACCUUUUCCUCGUCACACUCCACAUGCCUAAGAUUUGACUUUAACUCAUGGUUGACAUAUAAACAUACCCCAUCACCCUUCUUCUUUUUCCUAUCCU
rnacentral:lncRNA from 1 species